AGCAGCCGCGGUAAUUCCAGCUCCAAUAGCGUAUAUUAAAGUUGUUGCAGUUAAAAAGCUCGUAGUUGAAUUUCGGGAUUAAUAUGUUGGUCGUGCCUUGGUACGUACUGGCAUUAUUGAUUCCUACCUUCUGAAGAACCUCGAUGUCAUUAAUUUGGUGUCUUGGGAAAUCAGGACCGUUACUUUGAAAAAAUUAGAGUGUUUAAAGCAGGCUCGCGCUUGAAUACAUUAGCAUGGAAUAAUGAAAUAGGACGUUUGAUUCUAUUUUGUUGGUUUCUAGGAUCGACGUAAUGAUUAAUAGGGAUAGUUGGGGGCAUUAGUAUUCAAUUGUCAGAGGUGAAAUUCUUGGAUUUAUUGAAGACUGACUACUGCGAAAGCAUUUGCCAAGGAUGUUUUCAUUAAUCAAGAACGAAAGUUAGGGGAUCGAAGACGAUCAGAUACCGUCGUAGUCUUAACCAUAAACUAUGCCGACUAGGGAUCGGAUGAUGUUAAUUUUUAAUGACUCAUUCGGCGCCUUAAC
rnacentral:misc_RNA from 1 species